UACGGAGGGUGCAAGCGUUAUUCGGAAUUAUUGGGCGUAAAGCGCAUGUAGGUGGUUUGCUAAGUCUGAUGUGAAAUCCCUGGACUCAAUCCAGGAAGUGCAUUGGAUACUGGCAGACUAGAGUGCAGGAGAGGAAAGCGGAAUUCCAGGUGUAGAGGUGAAAUUCGUAGAUAUCUGGAGGAACAACAGAAGCGAAGGCGGCUUUCUGGACUGCAACUGACACUGAGAUGCGAAAGCGUGGGUAGCAAACAGG
rnacentral:rRNA from 1 species